UACGUAGGGCGCAAGCGUUAUCCGGAAUUAUUGGGCGUAAAGAGCGCGCAGGCGGUCGUACAAGUCGCGUGUGAAAGCCCCCGGCUCAACUGGGGAGGGUCACGCGAUACUGUUCGACUCGAAGGCAGGAGAGGGAAGCAGAAUUCCCGGUGUAGUGGUGAAAUGCGUAGAUAUCGGGAGGAAUACCAGUGGCGAAGGCGGCUUCCUGGCCUGUUCUUGACGCUGAGGCGCGAAAGCUAGGGUAGCAAACAGG
rnacentral:rRNA from 1 species